AACGUAGGAGACAAACGUUAUCCGGAGUUACUGGGCGUAAAGGGCGUGUAGGUGGUUUCGUAAGUCUGGCGUGAAAUAUCUCGGCUUAACCGAGGCAGGUCGUCGGAUACUGCGGGACUAGAGGACGGUAGAGGCGUGUGGAAUUCCGGGUGUAGUGGUGAAAUGCGUAGAGAUCCGGAGGAACACCAGUGGCGAAGGCGACACGCUGGGCCGUACCUGACACUGAUGCGCGACAGCAUGGGGAGCAACAGG
rnacentral:rRNA from 1 species